rnacentral:rRNA from 1 species
UACGGGGGGAGCAAGCGUUGUUCGGAUUUACUGGGCGUAAAGGGCGCGUAGGCGGCACUGCAAGUCGGUUGUGAAAUCUCCGGGCUUAACCCGGAAAGGUCAACCGAUACUGCGGGGCUAGAGUGCAGAAGGGGCAACUGGAAUUCUCGGUGUAGCGGUGAAAUGCGUAGAUAUCGAGAGGAACACCUGCGGCGAAGGCGGGUUGCUGGGCUGACACUGACGCUGAUGCGCGAAAGCUAGGGGAGCGAACGGG